rnacentral:rRNA from 1 species
AAACCAACCGGGAUUGCCUUAGUAACGGCGAGUGAAGCGGCAAAAGCUCAAAUUUGAAAUCUGGUACCUUCGGUGCCCGAGUUGUAAUUUGGAGAGGGCAACUUUGGGGCCGUUCCUUGUCUAUGUUCCUUGGAACAGGACGUCAUAGAGGGUGAGAAUCCCGUGUGGCGAGGAGUGCGGUUCUUUGUAAAGUGCCUUCGAAGAGUCGAGUUGUUUGGGAAUGCAGCUCUAAGUGGGUGGUAAAUUCCAUCUAAAGCUAAAUAUUGGCGAGAGACCGAUAGCGAGCAAGUACAGUGAUGGAAAGAUGAAAAGAACUUUGAAAAGAGAGUGAAAAAGUACGUGAAAUUGUUGAAAGGGAAGGGCAUUUGAUCAGACAUGGUGUUUUGUGCCCUCUGCUCCUUGUGGGUAGGGGAAUCUCGCAUUUCACUGGGCCAGCAUCAGUUUUGGUGGCAGGAUAAAUCCAUAGGAAUGUAGCUUGCCUCGGUAAGUAUUAUAGCCUGUGGGAAUACUGCCAGCUGGGACUGAGGACUGCGACGUAAGUCAAGGAUGCUGGCAUAAUGGUUAUAUGCCGC